rnacentral:lncRNA from 1 species
AAUUUUCGAUCAGAAAUAUAGAUCUUGUUGUAGCUAGUAUAAAGAAUUUUCUAUCAAAAUUUCAUCUGAUUUGAAUACUUCUACACCGUUAAACUUGAAAACGGCAGAUAUCAACCAUUAAAAAUUAUAGAUUUUGAAUCCUUUCGAUCACUAGGUAAAUGAUAACGAAAAAUCGCAAAAAUUAUUUUCUAGAAACUUCAAAUGCGCUAGAUCAAGUCUAACGGAGCCGAUCGUCGAUUCGAAAAUUCCAUCAUCGAAACGGCUCAGGAGCACGGAGGCCUCGUGCUCCUGAGAGCACAGCAGC